rnacentral:lncRNA from 1 species
GGGAAAACAAGGAAAACAAACUGAUGAAAAUUUUGUGCUGGUUGUGACGCACACUAGUAUCACGCACAAAAGAAAAACGGUUCUUGGUCGAACAACAUAGAAAAGAAAGGGUACGCGAUUCGAUCUUCUCAUGCAAAAUCAAAUUCGUUCUUGAGUGGUCUCCACAUCUUAUCCGAUUAAUCAUUGGUAGUACCACCAAAUAGGUUAAUCUGAAAGUGAUUACACGAUUUGUGGGGAAAUCCAAGUCGUCUUCUUCAUCUUUAUUUUACUGCAAUCGGUUCGAAUUUGGUCAGAGAAUCAUCCGGAUACAACAAAGAUUAACCUAUUUGGUUGGUUGAUUCUAUUCUGAUCUAAUGUUCGAAUUGACUUGUUUGAUAUUAGAAUUUGUGAUCUUUGAAAAUUUGUAUCCGAAGUGGUUCGUUUCUUGCAAUUCUCUAACAAGAAAGUGUACGCCUGUUCAUCUCUUGCAAACAGAGACGACUUGAAUAAUAUCAAUCAUCGAUUGAUAAGAAGGCAUAGGCGGCAACUGAAUCGGAAAGGUUUCACUCCAGAUUCAGUUCGUUAUUUUUUAUUUUCAAUUUAAUCGAUCACAGGAAGCGCAUUCACCGUUAGUCAUUGAUGGUGUGCGCUGCAAGUCAAAGAAGACAGAAGGCAACAUGGUUUCCUGUUUUGUUACGGAACUGAAGCCAUAAAUUUGUUCCGUUGUUGGGAAGAUUAGUCGAGAUUGUUGGUGUUGUGGUUGUUCCAUCGAAGCCAGAAAAGAAAGCCGAAAGGUUGUGUCGAUUUCAAAUCGAACAGAAAACUGUGUAAUCAUUGGGUUUGUGUUCGUGGAAUAGGGACGGGAAAAUAGAGAAUCCCAACGGUUUUGCUUUUCUGAUUUUGUAAUCGUGAAAACAAGGAUGACAGGCUCGUUGUUCUUGUGGUAUAUGGAAAUCGUAAAUCGGGUUGGGUUCCUGUAGAUUUGCAGUUGAAACAAAAUUGAUUUAUAUGGUGUUCUUGGUUCAUGAUUGUGAUAUUCAACUGAGAUGAAAGAUGAAACUUUUGUGUUGUUCGGUUCUAUUCGAUUCUGGUUUCGAGUUUGUUGUUCGUGUUAAUGGUCGAUCUGAAAAGGAGAUGACAUCAGAGGCAUUUAAAUCUCCAAGUGCGAGAAUAAAAGAACUACCUAUAAGAGUAUGAAGU